AUUGAACGCUGGCGGCAGGCCUAACACAUGCAAGUCGAACGGCAGCACAGAAGAGCUUGCUCUUUGGGUGGCGAGUGGCGGACGGGUGAGUAAUGUCUGGGAAACUGCCCGAUGGAGGGGGAUAACUACUGGAAACGGUAGCUAAUACCGCAUAACGUCGCGAGACCAAAGUGGGGGACCUUCGGGCCUCACACCAUCGGAUGUGCCCAGACGGGAUUAGCUAGUAGGUGGGGUAAUGGCUCACCUAGGCGACGAUCCCUAGCUGGUCUGAGAGGAUGACCAGCGACACUGGAACUGAGACACGGUCCAGACUCCUACGGGAGGCAGCAGUGGGGAAUAUGGCACAAUGGGCGCAAGCCUGAUGCAGCCAUGCCGCGUGUAUGAAGAAGGCCUUCGGGUUGUAAAGUACUUUCAGCGGGGAGGAAGGCGGUGAGGUUAAUAACCUCGCCGAUUGACGUUACCCGCAGAAGAAGCACCGGCUAACUCCGUGCCAGCCGCCGCGGUAA
rnacentral:rRNA from 1 species